CCUACGGGAGGCAGCAGUGGGGAAUUUUGGACAAUGGGCGCAAGCCUGAUCCAGCAAUGCCGCGUGAGUGAAGAAGGCCUUCGGGUUGUAAAGCUCUUUUGUCAGGGAAGAAACGGUCUACUCUAAUACAGUGGGCUAAUGACGGUACCUGAAGAAUAAGCACCGGCUAACUACGUGCCAGCAGCCGCGGUAAUACGUAGGGUGCAAGCGUUAAUCGGAAUUACUGGGCGUAAAGCGUGCGCAGGCGGUUAUAUAAGUCAGAUGUGAAAUCCCCGGGCUCAACCUGGGAACUGCAUUUGAGACUGUAUGGCUAGAGUGUGUCAGAGGGGGGUAGAAUUCCACGUGUAGCAGUGAAAUGCGUAGAUAUGUGGAGGAAUACCGAUGGCGAAGGCAGCCCCCUGGGAUAACACUGACGCUCAUGCACGAAAGCGUGGGGAGCAAACAGGAUUAGAUACCCUGGUAGUCCACGCCCUAAACGAUGUCUACUAGUUGUCGGGACUUAAUUGCCUUGGUAACGCAGCUAACGCGUGAAGUAGACCGCCUGGGGAGUACGGUCGCAAGAUUAAAACUANAAGUAUAGUAGACGUGUAGACGUAGCGACGGACGGACGACGACGGGAGGAGGAGG
rnacentral:rRNA from 1 species